CUAACGCUUCAGUGAUCGUGUCGGAAAGGACGGAGAGUGCAUUAUUCUAUUGCAUUAUUCUUGUAAAGUACGUUCCGUUAUGCGUUUACAGCGCUUCACGGAGUGUGAAAACAAAACACUUCAGUCACGAUUCACGAUCCUUCGCGCGCGGUGAGGAAAAGUGGAAGCGCUUCGCGCGCGUGCAAAUGUGCUUAUGAUUGCACAGAAAUUUCACCUGAGUCAUCCAGAAUGUGAUUAGCUGAUUUUCCUGAAGAAGUUUUGACGAUUCCCUUUCGAGACGCCGAACAUCGAUCGUCAUGGCGGUUGUAAUCUGAUAAAAUUAUUUUUCGAAGAUCGGAAGGGUAAGUCUGUUAUCGAUGCAAUAAUAUAAGACGCCUGCGCUCUUUUUCAGCUCUUUUAUUACUCAUAUACUUUCGUUGUUAUAAUGAUACGUAAGAUUAUACAAUGAUACUCUACAAGUUAGUUUUGAUAAGAAAUAAGAGAGGCGCGGAUUCGAAAACGUUCGCGCGGACGCCGACUUUCCCGAGAAAAUACGACUUUCGUGUCUCAAAGGUGAUCUCGGUUAAGUCCCGAUUAAUUUAAUCAGCGAUUUAUACCAGAUCGGUUAAAUUGUUUGAAACAAAAAUUUCUAAUUCCAAAAUUGUCCCUAAUCUUUUUUUUUAAAUAACAUGUUAAUAAUUUAACAAAAUUAAUAAUUUGACAAAAUGGUAUCAAGUAACAUCAUUUCGUUAAGUUAUUAAU